rnacentral:rRNA from 1 species
GAUGAACGCUGGCGGCGUGCCUAAUACAUGCAAGUCGAGCGAACAGACGAGGAGCUUGCUCCUCUGACGUUAGCGGCGGACGGGUGAGUAACACGUGGAUAACCUACCUAUAAGACUGGGAUAACUUCGGGAAACCGGAGCUAAUACCGGAUAAUAUAUUGAACCGCAUGGUUCAAUAGUGAAAGACGGUUUUGCUGUCACUUAUAGAUGGAUCCGCGCCGCAUUAGCUAGUUGGUAAGGUAACGGCUUACCAAGGCAACGAGGCGUAGCCGACCUGAGAGGGUGAUCGGCCACACUGGAACGGAGACACGGUCCAGACUCCUACGGGAGGCAGCGGUAGGGAAUCUUCCGCAAUGGGCGAAAGCCUGACGGAGCAACGCCGCGUGAGGGAUGAAGGUCUUCGGAUCGUAAAACUCUGUUAUUAGGGAAGAACAAAUGUGUAAGUAACUAUGCACGUCUUGACGGUACCUAAUCAGAAAGCCACGGCUAACUACGUG